rnacentral:rRNA from 1 species
GAUGAACGCUAGCUACAGGCUUAACACAUGCAAGUCGAGGGACCGGCGCACGGGUGAGUCACACGUAUCCAACCUGCCCUUUACUCGGGGAUAGCCUUUCGACAGAAAGAUUAAUCCCCGCUGUAAAGGAUGGGUAUGCGUUACAUUAGUUUGUUGGUGAGGUAACGGCUUACCAAGCCUUCGAUGGAUAGGGGUUCUGAGAGGAAGGUCCCCCACAGUGGAACUGCGUCACGGUCCAAACUCCGACGGGAAGCAGCAGUGAGAAAUAUUGGGCAAUGGGCGUUAGCCUGAAACAGCCAAGUAGCGUGAAGGAUGAAGGCUUAUGGGUCGUAAACUUCUUUUAUAUAAGAAUAUGUAUUAUAUGAAUAAGGAUCGGCUAACUCCGUGCCAGCAGCCGCGGUAAUUC